WAUGCAUGAGCGAUGGAUUUNYUUGGUUCCCUUGCACCGUUAAAAGGUCNCANCNAAUUGCGAAAAUGUUGGUCGUGUGAAUUGCAAANACACAUUGGCCCUUUUUCGGGCUGCGGAACACCUUACUUACUGAACGUUUAACACGCUUUGUGGACUAAUCUCAUGUAUU
rnacentral:rRNA from 1 species